rnacentral:tRNA from 3 species
GGAGUGAUGCUCGAGUGGUUGAAGAGGCACGCCUGGAAAGCGUGUAUACGCCAAAAGCGUAUCGGGGGUUCGAAUCCCCCUCCCUCCG